GGAAGUGUAGCGUUAAUGUUUUGUGUUAUUAGGACUUGGAAGAACCACUUGGAUUGGGCCUCUGAGAGAAAUAUCACUAGAUAACUAUUGGGCUAUACUUUUCAAAGACAAAGCCCAAUAAAACGAGAAAGUAAAAUAGUGAAAACACCCUCAGUGUCAUCAUGUCAGUCUUAGGAAUGUGAUGUGAGUGACUGAGUGUCCUACAAAUGAGAAAGGUAUUCUGUUCGGCUAUUAUUUAGAAUUAUUAUAUUUUCUUCUGGGGUAAAGAAUCGAGUUUUUUGUGGUUCAUUUGUUUGUGAUAAUAAUUAAAUUCUUAAUUAGUAAUAUACUUUUUUUUUUUUUUUUUUUUGCUAAAACGUUAAUAUCAUAUAAAAUGAAAAAAGGAUCUUACAAAGUUAGAAUCCUAAAGACAACACUUCCAAGGCAAAAAAAGGAAAAACAAGGAAGUAUUACAGAGGGUUUUACAGAUUUCUAGAACAGAGUUUACUCAAACUUAAGCCAAGAAGACAAGAGAGUGUUGUAUGCUCUCCGUCCCCUCCUUCCUAAGAGAAUAUUUCUCACCUCUCGAUCAAUAAUCCUGAAAACCGUGUCCGGAGGGAUAAGAACUCGGUUAUGGAGGAUAUUAUUUCUCUGACGCCAGAUGUGGUAGAGAGUAGAUUGGGUAACAAUUUUCUUCAAAGUGCAGAAAUUUCCUCGGGAUGGUGCCUUUAUCCAUGAGAGAAGUUCGGUCCAGUUCAUAAAGCACACAUUUGGGGACUCCAAUCUUGGGAGAACAUACCUCCAUAUUUCAGAGCUGUAGCCACAGGUGAGAAGGAUGUGAUCACGGGUUUCUAUUCCAAACAAACAGACAGGACAGUUGGUGGCGUCGGUGACCC
rnacentral:lncRNA from 1 species